GACAGAGGUGCCAAGCGUUAGGCGGAAUCACUGGGCUUAAAGCGUGUGUAGGCGGAUCGUUAAGUACCUUGUGAAAUCCCACGGCUCAACCGUGGAACUGCUGGGUAUACUGUCGAUCUUGAGCCACCUAGGGGCGAGCGGAACAAGCGGUGGAGCGGUGAAAUGCGUAGAUAUCGCUUGGAACGCCAAUGGUGAAAACAGCUCGCUGGGGGUGUGCUGACGCUGAGACACGAAAGCCAGGGGAGCGAACGGG
rnacentral:rRNA from 1 species